GCCUCCCAAAGUGCUGGGAUUACAGGCUUGAGCCACCGCGCCCAGCCUCUCCUUCUCUUCUAAUUACCUGCUCCCUGCUUUCAGCCCCUAACACCCAACCACAAUUCCCAGUUUCCAGUCUUUCCACACAUAUUAUCUCCUUGGCCACCCUCCCCUGACACUUCUGCAAGGAAAGCAUUAUCAAGUAUUUACAGAUAGUUAAAAUCUGAAGUUCAGACACGUUUAGUAAUUUUGUCUAAGGGCACACGUUUGUAAGUGCUACGGCUUUGAUUUAAACUCUGUUGCUCUAACCCCAAGUUCAGAACUAUUUCACGCAGGCAAUUCCACUCUAGUAUAUCUUCCCACCACUGCAAUCUGGCAGCCAUACCAUUUGAUAGUUCCAUAAACCUGGACAAGUUACUCGGCCUCUCUUGCUUCAGUUUUCUCAUCUGUAAAAUGGGGAUAUUCAUAGGACAAAAAUUUGUGGUGCACUGGCUUAGCACGGGGCCUUAGCACAGGGUAAGCGCUUAAUAAAUGCUAGAUUUCCGAAACCCAGGGAGGCCACACCUUUUGGCUGAAGUUUUCGCGGAAGCUUGGGAGAUAUCUUUACACUCCGCCUCUUCCUUCUGCAGUCACGGGAAGCAGUUACGAGCAGAUCAGAAAUCGAACACGUUUGCUUUUGCGAUUCGAGAGCUCUUUCUGGCGCGGAGCUAGGGGCGGUGUUACGUAGCUGCCCUGAACUAAGAGCAACGGUGGCCGGGGGCUAGGGAGCCUGGCUGUCGGCGCUCACUGUGCGCCUUGGGCUGUGGGGCGCGGGCUCUGUCCGAGGUACUGAACUCCGGGGCUCCGGCCGCGCCGGCAGAGUGUGCCGGCGUCCAUUAUUGCCAGUGUCUGUGGGCAUCUUCCAGAAGGCCGAGCAUGGGGGUCAGGUGAAACCAGGGCGGUACUGAGUGCCAAUGUUCCUUCUGCAAUUAAAGAUGGGGAAACUGAAGCCAGAAGUUGAAGACCAGCCUGGGUAACAUAGCAAGAGCUCGUCUCAAACAAAGACGGUGGGGAAACUGAGUCCUGGGAAUGGUAAGACGACAAGAACAAAGGGACAAGGCUAUGGUAAUGAGAUGCAUUUUGAGGGCCGCCAACUUCCAGGCUGGAGGAUCUCCCAGUAUCCACAACACUAUCUCCAUUUCCUGUACAUCUGCUGUUUAGCUCUUGUACCUGGCUCAGUACCUGGAUCAGCUACAGAAACACACAGAUGGUUUCGUCUUAGACUUGAAGCCCCAGUUUCCUCACCAGCAUCCCUUCUCACAGGCUGCAAAGCCUCCACCCUGGCUAGUGCCCAGGCAUUCUCCAUGGCCAUGCUCUGGGCUCAGCCUCUGCAAAUACAGCCAGCCUGGAUACAAAACAAACAUGUGGUUAGCAUAAGGAAACCACGGAGCUGAUUCAGAUGAAAGAUCCAGUGAAGAGGCCUCCCUGAGAGGGAGGAUAGACUAUACAAUUGGUGCGAAAUGAAAACUGGGUCCUCUUGUUAAAAAUUAUUACAAGUUUCAAGAUGGUAACAGCAGAGAGUUUAGCCAGGCCCAGGGCCUUUCUAUGUAUGAGGCCCUGAAGCCACCCCUGCUUCUGGAGGUACUAGACCCAGGGAACUGGGACCCCGCCAAAGCUCCUUCGGUAUUCAAACUGAGGCACCUUCAUCCUCCUGAAAAAAGAGCCUCAGAGCCCGGACUGCAGGAUUAGGUAAUGACCCAGCCUCCCACCACUCCCACCGUGCACCUGAAUUAGGGCUGUGUCUUAACUCUCCUAUUUCAGAAACUUCAGCUCCACGAAGACCUCAGGCCCCACCCCAUCUUCACCCUAGCACAUCUGAGCCCCAGCCAAGGGGUGUGAUCUGGAGUGGUGGACACAGUCCCGCACCACUGCAAAACAAGCAAGAAGUAUGCUCAAGGCCAUAGGAAGCAAAGAUUCUGUACUCUGGAAUCAUACAGACUUGGGUUUAAAUUCCACUGUACUACUCACCACCUAUGUGACUGUCACUUAGAGAUGCCAAUAUGAGCCUCAGGGACCUCCAUGAGGAUUAAGUGAAGUAAGGCCCACUGUCUGGCAUGGAACAGUCACUUUUAAGGAGAGCGGUGUAGCCAAGUGGUAACAGCAUACAAUUCCUGAAAAAUCCCAGCUCUGCCACUUAGCAGUAUUCAGCCUAAGUCAUACUCCUGAAUGUCUGCCUGCCUCAGUUUCCAAGGAAGUGACAUGGGGAUGAUGCUAGUUGUACAUUCUUCAUUAUCAUUUUAAAGAUUAGACAAGUUAAGGUUUGCAACUCAGUUUGGAACACUGUCUGGCACAUAAUGAGCUAUAUGAGUAUGUGUUUUAUUGAUUAGGAAUGCUUUAUGAAUGUUACGUGAGCAUUUGAGAUUUGGAAUUAGAAGAGUUGAGUUUGAGGUUUUCCUCCACCUUGUGGACCUUGAAAAAGAGGCUUGAGCAAGCCCUGUAGCUUAUGUGAACUUCAGUCUUCUGGUCCACUUAAUGGAAAUAAAAGUUGGCACCUUUGAUUGUUGCAAAAUAUGCCCCUGGUGCCAAAGUGCUGAUAAGCAAGAUGCAAACGUUGGCUGCUGUUGUUGAUUGUCAUUGUGAUUAUCUGUCUGGUCAUCAGAAUUCCUGGUCUUGUGGGGCCAUGGAAAGAGCACAGCAUCCAUUUAUUUGUUCUGUGAUAUUUACUGUUAACCUGCUCUGGGCCCUAGAUUGUGUUGAGAGCUAAGUCUAUGAAGGUGAGUAAAUUGGAGCCCCUGCCCUCCAGAAGCUCACAUCCUCCUACUCAUGGCAGACAAAGAAACGUGAAUUCUACUACAAAGAAGUAAGUGUGGCAGCAGAUGUACUAUGCAGUGCAGAAGUGGCCAUGGUUGCGGGAGCAAGGAGGGCUUCCUAGCAUUGGCGUUAUUUGACCAGAGGUCUGGGUGGUGCCUCUUGGAGCAGUGUGAUCUAAGCCAGGGACAGAUACCUCUGUGAGCCUUGGUUUCCUCAUCUGUAAAGUGGUUAAAGAUUGAAUAAAGCAAAAUAUGUGCAAACAAUCUGUGAAUGGGGAAGUAACAGAUGUUGCUUUCUAUUAUGUUCUCUCCUGGCCAUGAAUAUCAAUUAUUACAGAAAUGAAAAGGGAUCCUGCACCCAAAUUCAAAUCAAGCAAGUUCACCCAGAGGUUGCCGUGGGGUGGAGGGCCCAGAUCUGGGCUGUUUGGCUCUCUAUGCAGGAUGAAAGGGAUUUCCUGGACCUGGCUUUGCUGUCCCUUGUUCCUUUUGUAAGCAUCUGACUCUUCCUCUAUCCAUAAAGAUGAAGACAUUCUUUCUCAGGGAUUUAAUAUUGGGGCUGCGUGCCUGGCCCCUGAGAAAGCCCAAGCUUCCUCCUCCUCUUGAAUUGAACCCAGUGCAGCUUUAUGCACUCCAGACGAGCCUGCAUUCCCCUUAAUGCCCCUGGAAUUGCUUACUCACACCAAAAUCCGCUGCCUCAGGCAUUUCCAGCCAGAAGUAAGCCUUCUUUUCAUGGGCAAUCAGGCAGUAGCCUGGAGCACAGAGGGGAAGGGGGGCACCUGUAUGCCCGGCUGGGUCUCUGUAGACAGUGGAUCAUGCGAGGCCUCCCCUCUCCCUGACCCUGUGUGAUGAGCCCUGGAAGGAGGCACCCAGGCCAGGGGAGGAGCUGUGUAAUGACAGAAAGGGCAUCUACAUCUCUACCAUGUAAGUGGGGAAACUGAGGCUUAGCCUAGCACCAGAUCAGUCAUGUUGAAACCUAGGUUUGAACUGGGUCUCUGAAUCCCCACCCAGAGCUCACUGCAUUAAGGCUGAGGUGCCUGUGAGAGUCUGAGGACCUUUACUAUGAGACAGUGUGUUAUCGCUGACUUAGAGUCUGGAUAAAGAAGAUGAAUGCAUUCAGAGGAGUAGAUUCUGGUGUCAGACAUUUGCAUAAAAGGCCAAUUGUUCCUCUUGUUUGGAAGGUAAUUCACAAGCUUGAAUCUCUAAAAGGUUGCAUCUAGUGGAGGGUGGGGCUAUGUGUCUGUGCACAUCUGGUCUUUGGAGUUCUUAUUCAGCAAAUACUGAUUGCAAGCCCAUCAUGUGCCAGGCAUCAUGCCAGGGGCUUGGGAUCCAGAGAUGAAGAGAGAGUCAACCAUGCCCAUCAGGUUCUGCCAACCCCUGUAGUACGAGUGGUGGUUGGAGCAUGUAUUACACCCCCAAAAGGUGGGCUUGUCCCCCCUUCCACUUACCAGCCAUGUGUCCUUCUGGAUGGCAGUUUCCUCAUCUGCAAAAUGUGUGCAGCCCUAAGACCUGUCACCCAGGACCGUUUGCGAGAUCAGCUGUUGUUUUGCAGGUGAAAAGAUCCAUCUGGUCUCUGGGCCUGGCACUCUACCUAUAAAGUGAGACUCUACUCCAACAUAUACCCAAGGUGUGCUCUGGGUAGUAAAGUGUGGUGGUUUAGCACUUUGCCUUUGGGUCUGAUGGUCCUAGAUCCAAAUCCAGACUCUGCCCUCUAUUGUGUAACCUGGUGCAUGUCACUUAACCUCUUUGGAACCCAGUAUUCUCGACUAUUAACUGAGGAUGAUAAUCGUAGUAAUCAUAGUAGUACCUAGGUCAGACUGUUGGUGUAAAAAUUAAAUGAGCUAAUUAAAAUUAAAAAGUAAAGUGUUUUGAACAGAGACACUCCUAGUAAGCCCUGAAGAAAUGAGAGCUAUACUUUUGAUUAUUAAUAUUCUUAUAAUCCAAAGGAUGAUGCAGGAUUUUUUAAAUCUUUCCACAUGUAUGUUUUUGGACCAGUCCAAAAAAGAAUUGGAAACACACUCAUGCCGCAUAAAGACAGAGUUAUGAGGAACUAUAAAACAAAAUAAAACCUUUGGAGAAUCAACUGCAAA